UCAGGGAGUCGUAAAAGCCCGGGAGAGGACACGGCACACAUUCCCAGAAAACAUCUUUGCCUCGCGCUGCCGGGGAACGCUGCCAGGGAACGGUGUUGCGAGGCAAGGAAAUUAUUAUUUUCGAAAAUUGUGAUGUCUUCUUGAAAUACUAAUUGGGACAUUCUCCGAUUUCUCUUAGAGCACGGAGACGAUUGCUCCGUCGAGUCUUCUGAUCUCUAUUUUCAUCCUCAUCUUCCAGCUGCCUCACUCAUUCUCUCUCAGUUUAUCGAAGUUAAUUUAUUCUGAGGCGAUGGAAAUGCAAGACAAAUCCCUAAUUGUACUUCACUUUUAUUUGAGUUGGGGUGAACGAAAUGAGAUUUGUGGAAAAUGACGCCACUUCCCGUGUUAGCCGCUGGUCGUAUCAUACAGCCCAUAUUUCAUUGCAGGUGAUGGGCCAACGUUCGUGUUGAGAUCCGCUGAGUUUCCUCGUACUCGUGGAGUUGAAUUUGUGGCAGAAAUUGCACUGAAUUGCAGUCAAAUGGUUGUGAAUGAAACGAGAUUUGUGGAAAAUGACGCCACUUCCCGUGUUAGCCGCUGGUCGUAGCAUACAGCCCAUAUUCCAUUGCAGGUGAUGGGCCAACGUUCGUGUUGAGAUCCGCUGAGUUUCCUCGUACUCGUGGAGUUGAAUUUGUGGCAGAAAUUGCACUGAAUUGCAGUCAAAUGGUUGUGAAUGAAACGAGAUUUGUGGAAAAUGACGCCACUUCCCGUGUUAGCCGCUGGUCGUAGCAUACAGCCCAUAUUCCAUUGCAGGUGAUGGGCGAAAGUUCUUGUGGAGAUCCGCUGAGCUUCCUCGGCGUACUCGUGGAUUUAUGAAUUUGUGUCAGAAAUUGCAGUCGAGUGGACUUCUGUGCGUGUGUUGUGAGUAAAUCGCGACGGCUCCCUUCCUUCAGCAUCGUCAAAACGCAACAUAGAGCAUUAUUACGCACUCGUUCCAUGAUUCAUGAUAAUGCCUGGAUUCUUUUAAAAACAAUCAAUGUGUGUUCCCUAUCUAUCUACAUUGUACAUGGUUGCAGGUCGUUAUUUAUAAAUCUUGAUAAUUUCAACACUUUUCUA